rnacentral:rRNA from 1 species
UACGGGGGGAGCAAGCGUUGUUCGGAUUUACUGGGCGUAAAGGGCGCGUAGGCGGCGUAACAAGUCACUUGCGAAAUCUCCGGGCUUAACCCGGAGCGGCCAAGUGAUACUGUUGUGCUAGAGUGCGGAAGGGGCUACUGGAAUUCAUGGUGUAGCAGUGAAAUGCGUAGAGAUCAUGAGGAAGACCAGUGGCGAAGGCGGGUCUCUGGACAGUUCCUGACACUGAGGCACGAAGGCCAGGGGAGCAAACGGG